rnacentral:piRNA from 1 species
CAAUGCACUGGAUCUCAUGGAGA